rnacentral:tRNA from 1 species
GCCUGGGUGGCUCAGUUGGUUGAGCGUCCGACUUCGGCUCAGGUCAUGAUCUCACAGUUUGUGGGUUCAAGCCCCUGCAUCAGGCU